AUUGAACGCUGGCGGCAUGCUUUACACAUGCAAGUCGAACGGUAACAGGCCGCAAGGUGCUGACGAGUGGCGAACGGGUGAGUAAUGCAUCGGAACGUGCCCAGUCGUGGGGGAUAACUACUCGAAAGAGUAGCUAAUACCGCAUACGAUCUAUGGAUGAAAGCGGGGGACCGUAAGGCCUCGCGCGAUUGGAGCGGCCGAUGUCAGAUUAGGUAGUUGGUGGGGUAAAGGCUCACCAAGCCAACGAUCUGUAGCUGGUCUGAGAGGACGAGCAGCCACACUGGGACUGAGACACGGCCCAGACUCCUACGGGAGGCAGCAGUGGGGAAUUUUGGACAAUGGGCGCAAGCCUGAUCCAGCAAUGCCGCGUGCAGGAAGAAGGCCUUCGGGUUGUAAACUGCUUUUGUACGGAACGAAACGGCUCUGGUUAAUACCCGGGGCUAAUGACGGUACCGUAAGAAUAAGCACCGGCUAACUACGUG
rnacentral:rRNA from 1 species